rnacentral:rRNA from 1 species
AUUGAACGCUGGCGGCAGGCCUAACACAUGCAAGUCGAGCUGAGCGGCGGACGGGUGAGUAAUGCCUAGGAAUCUGCCUGGUAGUGGGGGAUACCGUCCGGAAACGGGCGCUAAUACCGCAUACUAUCAGAUGAGCCUAGGUCGGAUUAGCUAGUUGGUGGGGUAAAGGCCUACCAAGGCGACGAUCCGUAACUGGUCUGAGAGGAUGAACAGUCACACUGGAAAUGAGAAACGGUACAGACGCCUACGGGAGGCAGCAGUGGGGAAUAUUGGACAAUGGGCGAAAGCCUGAUGCAGCCAUGCCGCGUGUGUGAAGAAGGUCUUCGGAUUGUAAAGCACUUUAAGUUGGGAGGCGUUACCAACAGAAUAAGCAACGGCUAACUUAGUGCAAGCUGCCGCGGUAAUAC